UAAAAGGAGAGGAGCCACAGCAAGAAGAGGAAGGGAAAUACUGAUGGCUGACUUUCCACAGCUGUGGCAGCUGCACCUGGGCCUGGAGCCUGGUUGAGUCUCACAGCUACAGUGAAUUACUUACUCCUCUGUGAGCUCCCUCGCCUCCUUCCCUCCCUGUCCUCCUUCCAUAGGGUCUGCAUGGUCUGAAGAUCUAUGUAAGUCUACUGCUACUACUGAUGAUGAUGAUAAUGAUAUCACGUUAAUAUGAAGGAGAAGAUGGACAAGGCGGCGGCAGCGGCCAAUAAGUCACCCGCCACAGCCGCCGAAGGGAAGGACGGAGGUGCAGCUGCCAACUCCAUCGCUGGCAGCUCCACGUCUACUCUCAUCUCCUCCUCCUCUCAACAUGGACGGUCGAAGAAGGAUGUUUAGUGAGGAGGUGUUUGAUUGGGGUAUGUGUUUCGGUGUUUUUAUUUUCAUUUGUGUGUGGGUGUGUUUGCUUAUUUCUCGUCUUUACGUAGAUGUGACGUUACGAUCCUUGUUAUUCUGAAGUUGCUAUGCCAUCUGUAAUAAUAUGUAUAUAUGUCAUUUCAGUUCGUAAGUCUUUUUAACAUUACUUAUCUAUUUUAUUUGUUACUAUAUAUAUAUGCUGUCUGUAAUAUUACGUAUACAAGUCACUUCAGUUACUAAAUCUUUUUAAACAAAACAUAUCCAUUUAAUUUAAGUUACUAUGCUAUCUGUAACAUUACGUAUAUGUCACUUCGGUUUCUGAGUCUUAACAUUACGUAUCUAUUUUAUUUGAGUUAUGCACCAUCUGUAACAUUACGUAUACAUAUUGCUGCGGUUACUAUGUAUUUUGUCUUAGUAAAAUCCCUUGCACUUAAGUUACGUAUAUGUUUUGUAACAUGUACUAUGCCAUUUGUAACAUGAUGAAUCUUGACACUUAAGUACUAACUAUAAGUUCGACUUCAACAUUACGAUUCUUAACAUACAUAAGUUACCAUGUCCUCAGUAACAUUACGUAUCUAUGUCACUGUUGAGUUACUGUAUCUUUUUUUCUACAAUCUUUCUACAAUCCCUGUCAUGCUUAAGUCACUACGCUGUCUGUAACGCUCGGUCCUCGUCACUUACGUCACCAUAUCUUCCGUAACAUCAUAAUCCCUAUCACACUUGGGUUACUGUGUCAUCUGUAGCAAUGCGUACUCCUGUCCCUUCGCUUGCUAAAUCUUUUGUAACAUUUAUUUCUGUCACUAUUAACUUGCUCUGCCCUUUGUAACACUGAGACCAGGUUAUGUUAGUCAUUUGUUUUGUCACUUCUUCUGUACAUCAACACAAAGUUACGUUAGCCAGUCAUUCAUUAAAUAUAUUUUUCUUUAGUUCGUAACAAGGUUACGUUAGCUAGCCUUCGUUGAGACAAGGCUACGUUAGCCAGUCAUCCACUACAUAUGUUUUUCUUUACAUCAACACAAGGUUAUGUUAGCCAGUCAUUCAUUACAUAUAUUUUUCUUUAGUUUGAGACAAGGUUACGCGAGUCAGUCAUUCAUUACAUAUGUUUUUCUUUACAUCAACAUAAGGUUAUGUUAGCCAGUCAUUCAUUACAUAUGUUUUUCUUUAGUUCGAGACAAGGUUAUGUUAGCCAGUCAUUCAUUACAUGUGUUUUUCUAUAGUUCAAGACAAGAUUACAUUAGCCAGUCAUUCAUUGCGUAAUUUUUCGAACAUGGUAUUAUUAUUUAUAAAGUUACGUGGAUAGUUUGGGUUUCUACUUUCUCUGCAUUGAGACAAAACAAGGUUACAUCAGCUACCCCUUCAUUACAUCACAUGUACAUAGGCAUCGUUAUGGCAGUUUCGAUUUUCCCGGAGUCGUUUAGGGUUGUCAUGCAUGUCGGAGUACAUACACACGUACAUUCAUAUUACAUGUAUUCGUUUAUCUGUAUUACUAGGAGAGUAAGACUUUACGUAUACUUGCUGUGUUCGACAUUAACCCUAGAUUACUAUCGUUGUUGGACUAACAUGGUUACUAUCGAUGUCCGGAAGUACGGACAAAGUUUGCGGGCUUGAAAACACAUAUAGGAAUGGUACAAAGUUUAAUUACAAAUUUUUUACUUAAACUAGAAUACAUUCUUAAUUCUAUGACCUAUAAACUUUACAUAUUACACAAAAAUAACAUUACAAAAAAAAAUGUGUGAAACUUUAAAAAAAACACUACCCUUACCUAAUGAAGACACCACUGCCAGGCACUGUUUUGGCUGAUUGUGUUGAGUUGUGCCACACGUGGAGUUCACACGUCCCCCGAAAUGUUCCAGUCUUGGAAGCCCUUAUGCCGCUCGGGUUGCUGUAGGACAGGUUGAAAAAUUUAGAAUGAAUACAAAAUGAAAAAUAAUGCUGUUCCCUCUCCUAUUCUCAUUGGUGCUGCCUGUGGGAUCUGUAAUGGUGAAACAUUUUAUUUUGGAGUGAAUACAACCAGUUAUGGCAUCUGAGCAACAGAACAGCGAAAAAAAAAAUAAUAUGAAUAUUGAAUACUAAAUAUAAAAUGUUGUUUCCUCUCCCAUUCUCAUUGGUUCUGCCUGUGAGACCUGUAAUGGUAAGAUAUGGUAUAUCUGGAGUGAAUACAAUCCGUUGGGGCAUCUGAGCAGCAGCACAGCAGCAAAAAACAAUAAAUUAACAAAUAUGUAAAUAUACAAACUGACUAAAGGGUUUAGUGGGCAGCAGGGGAACGGACGGUUGACACGUCCUGCCGGGUAGAACUACACAUCGUCCUCCUCCGUGUCUCCAUCGCCUCCCUCCUGGGCAUCCCACCUGUCGUACAGAGCAGACUCAUGUACAGAAAAAUCUACCCCCCCCCCCCUCAAAAAAUGAAAUAAUAUGAAAAUAAAUAAAUGAUGAACAUUAGAAAUGUAAUACAAAGGAUGUUGAAGAUGUAUGCAUCAGUGACAGAUAUGGAAAACACUACUGAAUAAUAAUAAUAAAAUAUCAUGAUAUUGAAAUAAUUACAUCUUCCUCCACUCACCUCAAGCUGCAUGUGUUGUAGUACAGGUACAGGUGGCAGCCACAUAUGCUUUCUUUGCACCCCCUGCACAGGUACUUGCUCCUCCGUGUUGUCCCGGGGCACCUCAUACAGCGCUUCUCUUUGUUCUUGUUGCAUUUUACACUCGGAAGGUCAUUUUACAGAAAAACUUAUGUAUAACACUUGAUAUGUCAUAACUACUGUCGUUGUCCGGAUUUCCGGACAAUUGGGAAUAGUUCAGGAAUUAAGCACGGGGAAAACACAAACACACCACCUCACGCGCCAAGGGAAGAAUGCUAACUGAAAUGUCAUGGCCGUACAGCACCGUACGUCUAAGAGAUUUCCUUCCGCGAUGCAAAUUAACUCCCCAUGCCGGGAUUCCAGACAACGAUAGUAAUCUAGGGUUGAGUGCUCAGUCAGUGCUCGCCUCGCUGCCGUACUAAGGGGCGAAGCAGCACGACCCUCUUUGCUCUACGAUUCAGGGACGGCAAGACUUGUGUUGCGGAGAGGAAGUAUUGCUGUAGGACUUGUGGAGAGGAAGUAUUGCUGUAGGACUUGUGUUGCAGAGAGGAAGUAUUGCUGUAGGACUUGUGUUACAGAGGAAGUAUUGCUGUAGGACUUGUGUUGCGGAGAGGAAGUAUUGCUGUAGGACUUGUGAAGAGGAAGUAUUGCUGUAGGACUUGUGUUGCAGAGAGGAAGUAUUGCUGUAGGACUUGUGUUACAGAGGAAGUAUUGCUGUAGGACUUGUGUUGCAGAGAGGAAGUAUUGCUGCAGGACUUGUGUUGCGGAGAGGAAGUAUUGCUGUAGGACUUGUGUUACAGAGGAAGUAUUGCUGUAGGACUUGUGUUGCAGAGAGGAAGUAUUGCUGUAGGACUUGUGUUACAGAGGAAGUAUUGCUGUAGGACUUGUGUUGCAGAGAGGAAGUAUUGCUGUAGGACUUGUGUUACAGAGGAAGUAUUGCUGUAGGACUUGUGUUGCAGAGAGGAAGUAUUGCUGCAGGACUUGUGUUGCGGAGAGGAAGUAUUGCUGUAGGACUUGUGUUACAGAGGAAGUAUUGCUGUAGGACUUGUGUUGCAGAGAGGAAGUAUUGCUGUAGGACUUGUGUUACAGAGGAAGUAUUGCUGUAGGACUUGUGUUGCAGAGAGGAAGUAUUGCUGUAGGACUUGUGUUACAGAGGAAGUAUUGCUAUAGGACUUGUGUUACAGAAGAAGUAUUGCUAUUGGACUUGUGUUACAGAGGAAGUAUUGCUAUUGGACUUGUGUUACAGAGGAAGUAUUGCUAUAGGACUUGUUACAGAGGAAGUAUUGCUAUUGGACUUGUGUUACAGAGGAAGUAUUGCUGUAGGACUUGUGUUGUGGAGAGGAAAUAUUGCUGUAGGACUUGUGUUACAGAGGAAGUAUUGCUGUAGGACUUGUGUUGUGGAGAGGAAAUAUUGCUGUAGGACUUGUGUUACAGAGGAAGUAUUGCUGUAGGACUUGUGUUGUGGAGAGGAAAUAUUGCUGUAGGACUUGUGUUGUGGAGAGGAAAUAUUGCUGUAGGACUUGUGUUACAGAGGAAGUAUUGCUGUAGGACUUGUGUUACAGAGGAAGUAUUGCUGUAGGACUUGUGUUACGAAGGAGAAAGUGAAUUACCCUAGAACUUGUGUUACAGAGGAGAGGAAGUAUUGCUGUAGGACUUUUUUUUUUUUUGGCCUAUUGCGCCGGUAGGCUUCUUCCCGGUGGAUCCUGAUGGUCGGUCCAAGGCUUCUUCCCGGUGGGUCCUGAUGGUCGGCCCAGCCCGUUCUGGCGCAGGCGAGUGUUUAUAAUGGCGCCAUCUUGCAUUGGCUCAUGCUGCCCUCCCGGAGCUCAUCUUUAAUCCUAAAAUCUAGAAUCCGGGUUGAUAGGUGGUCUUUUGGACAGCAUGUGGGUAGUUUUAAGCCACUCGGCGGCGGAUGAAAAAUCCCAGCUUGGUGGCACCGGUCGGGAAUUGAACUCACGUCCUCCUGAACGCGGGGCCGUCUUGCUAUCCGUUCAGCCACCGCCUACCCUAGGAAGUAUUGCUGUAGGACUUGUGUUACAGAGGAAGUAUUGCUGUAGGACUUGUGUUACAGAGGAAGUAUUACUGUAGGACUUGUGUUACAGAGGAAGUAUUGCUGUAGGACUUGUGUUACGAAAGAGAAAGUGAAUUACCAUAGAACUUGUGUUACAGAGGAGAGGAAGUAUUGCUGUAGGACUUGUGUUAUGAAGGAGAGAGUAUUACCGUAGGCCUUGUGUUACAGAGGAGAGGAAGUAGUGCUGUAGGAUUGCUGGUGGAUUCUUACAGAUGAGAAAAAGGUUACCACGAGACUUACAUUACGAAGGAGAAACAUAAACGGCAGGACUUUUAUUACAUAGGAAAAGAUAGAGGUAUGUAUUGCAGAAUGGAGGAUUAAAGAUAGGACUGUUAACAAGGAGAAAAGAUUACGUACAUCAGGACUUGUGAUACAUAAGAGAAAGACUCGCGGCAAGAUUUGUGUACGAAAGGAAAAGAGAGAAUCAAACCGAGAUAAAAAGACUGUUACGGAGGAGAAAAAGAAAGGAAGAAAAGGUGAGUCAUCGCUGGACAUAUUAUUACGAAGGAUAAUGAAGAAUUUUUUCCACUAUGUAUACUUGUCGUCUAAUAAGAGGGGAAGACUUAGACAGUUCAACAUCUCUUGGUUCGUAAUGACAAUAUACUUUAAGUUCUUCCGACCCCCAACGACAGCACAGGCUCGGGAUAAACGGUUACGUAGAGUUGGUUAUGGUGAGGUUCUUUUCGGCUUCAUAUAUUACUUGUCGUCUCAAGGAGGUACGUACAUGUAUCGUUUAGUCAUGUACGCCGGGUUUUUCAAGCGUGGUAGUAGUAUCAAGCUCUGUGGCUGGUGUGACUUUGCUUCUAAUUUUUAGAUGGAGUUGUUUGCUAGAAGUCCUGGAUUUUCAGAGUGAAGGCAACACUAACAAACUUUUACCGUUUUCUUAUACAGGUAACUCUCAAUUUACGCGAGUUUGGUUUACGCGUUUUUUAAAAUAAGGCGGGGUCCAAAAUCCAAAGAAAUGUUUAAUUUACACGUUUUUUUUUCACUGAUACGCGAUAUUUUAUGGAGUGGCCACCAGAUGCAACCAGAGCAACUGGACUCACACGGCGCAGCGGCCACACAGCUGAGCUCAGUUCUUCCCGCGCGCCACUUGAACAACAACUACAGUACCCACGCUGCCACGCUACUCAACAAUAGGGGUGGGCUGGUACCGGUACUAACUGUACCAGCUAUACGGUACGGUACCGGUACCAAUACUAGCAAGUCGCUCAUGGUGUCCCUCGAUUUCUUCCUCACACGAGUAAAGCUGAGACUGAGUGCCUGAGUGGAUAUCUCGGCGAUAUGGAUACUCUCUCUCUCUCUCUC